AAGUAAUCACGCAAAUACAUUGGUCUAUAUGAUCAUUAAAAAAAAAAAAAAACUGGCCAACAAAGUCAUUCAAUUAAACUUACAAAGGCAAGCCAUGUUUCCUCCUACAUCCACUCUCUCUCACGCAUUCAUCUUGUACGCAUACGCUAGCUAAUUACACAACAAAACCCACUUUCUUUCUUUUAGCUUUUCCACUACCUCAAAAAAACUCACCUUGCUUUGCUUUUCUUGUUUUGGAUUGUUGUAGAUCUACAAAGAAGAAAAGAUGAUUCAAGAACUCCUAGGAGGUGCUCGCCUUAUUGGAGGAGAGAGGAAAAUUUCCAUUACUGGAACCAUUUUGGAAGGAACACCUUCUACUUCUCCUUCGUUAUCUCCUUCUUCUUCAACUACAACUACAUCAAUAACAACUACUGCUACAACUACUGCAACUGCUGGUAAUUCAACUUCUUCAACUUCAGAGAACCUCAGAUGCCCUAGAUGUGAUUCUUCAAACACUAAGUUCUGCUACUAUAAUAACUAUAACCUCACUCAGCCUCGCCACUUCUGCAAAACCUGUCGCCGAUAUUGGACAAAAGGUGGUGCUCUUAGGAACGUUCCAAUCGGGGGCGGAUGCAGAAAAAACAAGAGCACAACUGUAUCUACAUUAGUUGGAAAGUCAAGCACCAGUAAGAUGAAAACAGUGGCAUCUGAAAUCGGAAGAUCGUGCUUCGGGAAUGGGUUUGAUCAUGAACUUCCAUCAAGCCCAAUUAUGUGGGCUUCACCCCAGAAUUCUCAUCUUUUAACCUUACUGAGAGCUACCCAUAACCCUAACCCUAACCCCAGUACGCUAUCUAAUUCUCUUGCUGUGAAGGAGGAAGGGUGUAUGAUCGGAACCCACAUGAUAUCUGAGCCAACGGUUGCAACCGGUGCACUAAAUGCCCGUACCCUGGGCUUGGACCCUCUUACCCAAGUCCCUUCUCUGGGCACUCAUUUUUGGAAAAACAGCCAACACCAAGCUCAACAGCACCAACAAACUGGAUUCAUAGUUCGUGAAGCUCAAAACUCAGGGAUUCAAGAAUUGUAUCAAAGACUCAGAUCAUCAACUAAUUACUAUAGCAAUAACUCUCCUGUAGUUCUAAGCAACGUGGCUUCUUCCUCAACUGCAUCUUCAACCAUUUUAGAGUCUUCUCCUGUUGCUGGAGGUGAAUUGGGCUACUGGAAUCCAACGUUUUCAUGGUCUGAUCUUCCAACAACUAACGGUGCAUAUCCUUAAGAACCCUUUCUUUAUUUCAUUUUUUAUUUCGUUUGAUUUAGAUUUAUUUCAUAUGCUAGGGUGGUUGCGGGUAUAUGGAUAUGGUCGUAGAAUCAGUCUUUUCUUUUCAUUUCCUUUUAAUGUUCUUAAUUAUGUAUGUGUGUUUUUGUGUGUUUAAUGUACCAAGUUCCAAGAAGUGGUAGAAAUGGAAAAUAUUAGCUGCUUUCAGUGCCUUCUGUUGUUGCAGAGUGUAUCCAUUUCCAUUCAAAUGGUAAAAAAUUCUCUCCUAAACGUACAAAUUAUUAUGAGACCUGAACCUUCCUAGGGCUGUUGGUUGUGUGUGUGUGUGUGUAUAGUUCUAAGAAAGAAGAUGAAUUUGUGGGUACUUGCAGUCCAAUCUUUUCUUUUAUUCUAUGAGAAUAAAACACUAGAAAGAAUAAAACCUCCACAUGAUUAAUUAUCAUCUUGGUUUGCUCAAAACCCUUUAUUGUUCCUUUUUAUAUAUGGUAAGAGCAGGCAGCUGGUGGUGGUGGUGGUGAUCUGUUGGGUGGCAUAUAAAGAUUCUUUUACUAUUAUUAUUAUUUGUUCUUACGAGAAAGUGAUGAAUAGAGUACUUAAAGCAGCCUUUUGGGAAAGAAACCAGCAAUUGAUUCUCAAAGUCGGAAAAGGAUUCCACUUGCAGCCUUGUCUCUGGCCACUCUGGUUCUAAGGAUUUUGCUUAGAUUUAAUCACUUCAAGUACCGAAUCUUUUUCUUUCCACAUACAUGUUCUCUUACUAUAUAGUUUAGGCAGUUUGAGCAUGAAAGAAUAUAGCUAGUGCUGAAUUUUAUUUUCCUUUAAUCGUAGCACUCUUUCCAAAUUCUUUUAGUGUUUCUUGGCAAAAGAAACUUGGUGCAAUUAAAAAUUGCAAUGCAGAUCUCAGGUAUAUACCAUCUCCUUUACGAAAGAAGGAUGAACAACAGGAUAGGGUGAUGGUGCAGAACCGUGAAGGUUUUUUUACCCUUUCAAAUAGAACAACCAUCUAAAUUUGAUUGAUAAAGAAAUAGCCAGCAACAAAGUUUAUGAGGUAGAUAAAGAUAAAGAUAUUCACCCUUACCCAAGAUGAUCCAUAUGCUUCAAAAAAGGCAGAUGUAGACUCCAAAAGCCAUGGAAUUGGAAGCAUGUUACCAUUAAGCAUAAUUUAGAAAUCGAAGGGUGGAAGACUAGGAGAAGAGUCUAAGAAGAUACAUAGACUAGGACGCCUGCAAUCUAGCCGAAUUGAAUCAAAUACAAUAGUGUGCAACAUUUUUCUCUUGUUUGAAUAUAUUUUGAGUUUUAAAACAUUAUUCAAAUUUGAUUUAUUAAAAUUUUAAGCUGGCUAGCUCAAAUUUUUU
rnacentral:misc_RNA from 1 species